AUGAAACGCAUGCUGGGAUUUCCAGCUGGCUUCCCUCCCCCUCCUCCCCCGACUGCUGCAGACAGUGAUGGGGAGGAGAUAAGGAAUCAGUUCAAGAGCUCUUCCGGAGGAGCAUCUGCACAUGCUGUUAUAUGGGAGAUACUGAAAUUGCAUUGUUGUGGUUUUCACAAAGAGAGAAAUGCUUCAAAGCAGAAAGUUUAGCUGAAAUCAGAUCUUUCUGAACACUGAAAAGUGCCACUCUGCCCACGGUGUCAAAAUGCAACAUUUCCAGAAGAUUAAAACUGUGAUGAAAAUUCACUACCAGAACUUUUUUUUGUAUAUUCAGUCUUGCAUUGUGAGGAGGAGUGGGCUACGUAGUAAUCCUACAUAAUUUUUAAAAGUCUAUACUGG
rnacentral:lncRNA from 1 species